rnacentral:rRNA from 1 species
CAAGUCGAGCGGAUGACGGGAGCUUGCUCCUUGAUUCAGCGGCGGACGGGUGAGUAAUGCCUAGGAAUCUGCCUGGUAGUGGGGGACAACGUUUCGAAAGGAACGCUAAUACCGCAUACGUCCUACGGGAGAAAGCAGGGGACCUUCGGGCCUUGCGCUAUCAGAUGAGCCUAGGUCGGAUUAGCUAGUUGGUGGGGUAAUGGCUCACCAAGGCGACGAUCCGUAACUGGUCUGAGAGGAUGAUCAGUCACACUGGAACUGAGACACGGUCCAGACUCCUACGGGAGGCAGCAGUGGGGAAUAUUGGACAAUGGGCGAAAGCCUGAUCCAGCCAUGCCGCGUGUGUGAAGAAGGUCUUCGGAUUGUAAAGCACUUUAAGUUGGGAGGAAGGGCAGUAAGUUAAUACCUUGCUGUUUUGACGUUACCGACAGAAUAAGCACCGGCUAACUCUGUGCCAGCAGCCGCGGUAAUACAGAGGGUGCAAGCGUUAAUCGGAAUUACUGGGCGUAAAGCGCGCGUAGGUGGUUUGUUAAGUUGGAUGUGAAAGCCCCGGGCUCAACCUGGGGAACUGCAUCCAAAACUGGCAAGCUAGAGUACGGUAGAGGGUGGUGGAAUUUCCUGUGUAGCGGUGAAAUGCGUAGAU